rnacentral:tRNA from 1 species
GCCGGUUUAGCUCAGUUGGCAGAGCGCCAUAUUUGUAAUUUGGAUGUCAUCGGUUCGAACCCGAUAGCCGGCUCCA